rnacentral:rRNA from 1 species
AUUGAACGCUGGCGGCAUGCCUUACACAUGCAAGUCGAACGGCAGCACGGGAGCAAUCCUGGUGGCGAGUGGCGAACGGGUGAGUAAAGUAUCGGAACGUGCCCAGUCGUGGGGGAUAACGUAGCGAAAGUUACGCUAAUACCGCAUACGAUCUAUGGAUGAAAGCGGGGGAUCGCAAGACCUCGCGCGAUUGGAGCGGCCGAUAUCAGAUUAGGUAGUUGGUGGGGUAAAGGCUCACCAAGCCGACGCUCUGUAGCUGGUCUGAGAGGACGACCAGCCACACUGGGACCGAGACACGGCCCAGACUCCUAUGGGAGGCAGCAGUGGGGAAUUUUGGACAAUGGGCGAAAGCCUGAUCCAGCCAUGCCGCGUGCAGGAUGAAGGCCUUCGGGUUGUAAACUGCUUUUGUACGAAACGAAAAGGUUUGGCCUAAUAAGCUGAGCUCAUGACGGUACCGUAAGAAUAAGCACCGGCUAACUACGUGCCAGCCGCCGCUGUAA